rnacentral:snoRNA from 1 species
CCCUCCUACAAAGGCGUGUCGGUGGUUUCUUGUCCUUGGACACAUAAGAAUUGGAGGCAAAAAGAUGUGGACUUGGAGAAGUCUGGUGCCCGCUUGCUCCCCGCAGGCUCAAGAUCAUCCUUUCCCACACAG